AUGGACACCAGAAAGAACCAGGAUGUAGUUUUAGCUGUAAGUUUAAAUGGCGGCGUGUGAAAUACCUCUCACGUUGACCUCGGCCGUCGUCUUCUGCUCUCCCAACACGCAGCUGUACUCCCCCACAUCCUCGGGCUGGAUGUUUUUGAUGUGCAUCUCCGCUGUCUUCCCCUUCAGCGUCAUGUGAUAUCUUCCCCCCUGAUAGAUCUGGUCCUCCGCCUUCCACCACUGCACCGGCACCCCGGCCCUGGACAGCUCGCAGCGAAGCGACACGUUGCCUCCUUCAGGGGCCUCCUGGUUCUUCAGACCCAUUUUGAAGCGAGGCCGGGCUUCGAGAGCUCACAGUUCAACGUCACGCCGUUCUCCUCCUCCACCUGCUGGUUCUUCAACUUGGUCUUGAAUGUGAUUGGAGGAGCUGCAAGGAGAAGAACCGAGGACUGGACACGGAGGAGACGUGUGUGAGUUCACCUUUCACAGUGAGCUCCGCAGUGGACUGGCUGUCUUUACUCUUGCAGGUGUAUUUCCCAGCAUCGCUCUCCUCCACGUUGUUGAUGAUGAGUUUAGUGAGACGUCCCUCCUGUUUCAUCUCAUACUUGUAUCCUGGUCUGAGGAUCACUCGGCCUUUCCUCCAGUCCACCGGAGCUGCAGGUUGGGAGAGCUCGCAGCAGAACACUCCAGCGUCUCCUUCCUUCACCUCCAGAUUCUCCAACUCUUGUUUAAAGCUCACGGGGAUUUCUGGAGAAAAGCAACAACAAAUUAAACAAAAUCUGGAAACAUU